rnacentral:rRNA from 1 species
GCCCAGCUUGCUGGGCGGAUUAGUGGCGAACGGGUGAGUAAUACGUGAGUAACCUGCCCUUGACUCUGGGAUAAGCCUGGGAAACUGGGUCUAAUACUGGAUACUACCUUUCAUCGCAUGGUGGGGGGUGGAAAGGGUUUUACUGGUUUUGGAUGGGCUCACGGCCUAUCAGCUUGUUGGUGGGGUAAUGGCUCACCAAGGCGACGACGGGUAGCCGGCCUGAGAGGGUGACCGGCCACACUGGGACUGAGACACGGCCCAGACUCCUACGGGAGGCAGCAGUGGGGAAUAUUGCACAAUGGGCGAAAGCCUGAUGCAGCGACGCCGCGUGAGGGAUGACGGCCUUCGGGUUGUAAACCUCUUUCAGUAGGGAAGAAGCGAGAGUGACGGUACCUGCAGAAGAAGCGCCGGCUAACUACGUGCCAGCAGCCGCGGUAAUACGUAGGGCGCAAGCGUUGUCCGGAAUUAUUGGGCGUAAAGAGCUCGUAGGCGGUUUGUCGCGUCUGCUGUGAAAGCCCGGGGCUCAACCCCGGGUCUGCAGUGGGUACGGGCAGACUAGAGUGCAGUAGGGGAGACUGGAAUUCCUGGUGUAGCGGUGAAAUGCGCAGAUAUCAGGAGGAACACCGAUGGCGAAGGCAGGUCUCUGGGCUGUUACUGACGCUGAGGAGCGAAAGCAUGGGGAGCGAACAGGAUUAGAUACCCUGGUAGUCCAUGCCGUAAACGUUGGGCACUAGGUGUGGGGGACAUUCCACGUUUUCCGCGCCGUAGCUAACGCAUUAAGUGCCCCGCCUGGGGAGUA